GCAUCGAUGAAGAACGCAGCGAAAUGCGAUAAGUAAUGUGAAUUGCAGAAUUCAGUGAAUCAUCGAAUCUUUGAACGCACAUUGCGCCCUCUGGUAUUCCAGAGGGCAUGCCUGUUCGAGCGUCAUUUCAACCCUCAAACUUAGCUUGGUGUUGGGGCAUUACCUGACUGUUUCUACAGGAGGGUAAGCCCUGAAAUUCAGUGGCGAGCUCGCCAGGACUCCGAGCGCAGUAGUGUAAACCUCGCUUUGGAUCGUACUGGCGCGGCCCUGCCGUAAAACCCCCAACUUCUGAAAAUUUGACCUCGGAUCAGGUAGGAAUACCCGCUGAACUUAAGCAUAUCAAUAAGCGGAGGAA
rnacentral:rRNA from 1 species